CUGCCCUUGGAGUCUUGCUACAGGCCUGGGUUGAGCCCUGGUUUAGCUGGUCAACUUAGGCAGGGUCACUGGGAGAUGGCCUUGCCCAGUCCUGCUGGUUCUGAGCUCCUCUUCCAUCCCCAUCUCCCUCCAGGGAAGAUCCCUUCAGGACAACAAGCCCUUUGAGUAGGACGGUGCCACCAACUGGUAUUUGACCAUUCGUGUACCACUGGGACCCAAGCGAGUUGGUAUACGUCUGCUGCUGUCUGGAUGCAGAGGGAGGAAGGAACCGAGUGGAGUCCAUGCAGGCCCUGUGCUCUCUAAGAUACUCCUCCCCACACUAUCCCACAGACCUCCCUGGGCCCAGGUCUCUAACUAUGGGUGUCUACACACAUGGGCAGGGCCCCCAGGGAGUGGUGAGGCUGCAGCUUUCCAGGAGAAUUUUUUACUCGAAGUCCCAUGUGAAACAUAUGGAGUGGAGCAUCAGGAGUGCAGUGGGGUGGGUAACCUGGUGCCCCUCAAGGGUGCCAGCCCUCUCCUCUGUCCCGCCUCCAGGGCCCAGGGGCUUGACUGUGAGCUGUGGGGUGGAGGUUAGGGAGGCCCCCAUGUACUGACUCUGUGUUUAGCUUCCCAUCAGCCGGAUGCAGCAGUGGGAGGUCCCCAGGGAGGUUCAGCCUCCCAUUCACCCCUUCCUAGCCGGCAAUGCCAGGACGUGCAGCAGAACUUCAUCCUCUGAGCCCCUCAUGCCUCGCUCCCCUGUUGGGAGUACCA